rnacentral:rRNA from 1 species
CGCAUGGGCCGAAAGCCUGACGGAGCAAUACCSGCGUGAGGGAUGAAGGCCUGUGGGUUGUAAACCUCUUUUCUCAAGGAAGAAAUUUUGACGGUACUUGAGGAAUAAGCAUCGGCUAACUCUGUGCCAGCAGCCGCGGUAAUACAGAGGAUGCAAGCGUUAUCCGGAAUCACUGGGCAUAAAGCGUCUGUAGGUGGCUUAGCAAGUCUGCUGUUAAAGACUAGGGCUUAACCCUAGGAAAGCAGUGGAAACUAGUAAGCUUGAGUGUGGUAGAGGUAGAGGGAAUUCCUGGUGUAGCGGUGAAAUGCGUAGAUAUUAGGAAGAACACCAAUGGCGAAAGCACUCUACUGGGCCAUAACUGACACUAAGAGACGACAGCUAGGGGAGCAAAUGGGAUUAGAUACCCCAGUARGUCAUAGCCGUAAACGAUGGAUACUAGGUGUUGCACGUAUUAACCCGUGCAGUAUCGUAGCUAAGGCGUUAAGUAUCCCGCCUGGGAAGUACGCUCGCAAGAGUGAAACUCAAAGGAA